UUUGUUUCUGUUACACUUCAGUUAUUAGAGGAAGUAACACAAGGGGAUAUGAGUGCAGCAGACACAUUUCUGUCCGAUCUGCCGAGGGAUGAUAUCUAUGUGUCAGAUGUUGAGGACGACGGUGAUGACACAUCUCUGGAUAGUGACCUGGAUCCAGAGGAGCUGGCAGGAGUCAGGGGACAUCAGGGUCUAAGGGACCAAAAGCGGUAAGGGGCAUGUGUGUGCGCCAAAGGGAAUGCUGCCACUCUGAGGCAGUGUUAGGGUGGGUACUACCAGAUCCCGAGUAGGGGAGCAAGGGCUCCAGGCAAUCUGGGUCUCUGAGCCCCCUACUUUCCUUUGGGUCUACAGUGUGCGACUUACUGAAGUGCAAGAUGAUAAAGAGGAGGAGGAGGAGGAGGAGAAUCCACUGCUGGUACCACUGGAGGAAAAGGCAGUACUGCAGGAGGAACAAGCCAACCUGUGGUUCUCAAAGGUAAGGAGAGGCUGGGGGCAAGACUGCAGGGAGAUGAGUCUUCCUUGGGAGAAGGGCAGCUGAUGUUCUCCCAUCACAGGGCAGCUUUGCUGGGAUCGAGGACGAUGCCGAUGAGGCCCUGGAGAUCAGUCAGGCCCAGCUGUUAUUUGAGAGCCAGCGGAAGGGACGGCAGCAGCAGCUGCCACAGACACUGCCUUCCUGUUUGAAGACUGAGAUAAUGUCUCCCCUGUACCAAGAUGAAGCCCCUAAGGGAACAGAGGCUUCUUCAGGGACAGAAGCUGCCACUGGCCUUAAAGGGGAAGAAAAGGAUGGCAUCUCAGACAGUGAUAGCAGUAGUAGCAGUGAGGAAGAAGAGAGCUGGGAACCCGUCCGUGGUAAGAAGCGAAGCCGUGGGCCUAAGUCAGAUGAUGACGGGUUUGAGAUAGUGCCUAUUGAGGACCCAGCAAAACAUCGGAUACUGGACCCCG
rnacentral:sRNA from 1 species